rnacentral:rRNA from 1 species
UACAGAGGUCUCAAGCGUUGUUCGGAUUCAUUGGGCGUAAAGGGUGCGUAGGCGGCGAGGUAAGUCGGAUGUGAAAUCCCGGGGCUCAACCCCGGAACUGCAUUCGAUACUGCUUUGCUUGAGUACUGGAGAGGAGACUGGAAUUUACGGUGUAGCAGUGAAAUGCGUAGAUAUCGUAAGGAAGACCAGUGGCGAAGGCGAGUCUCUGGACAGUUACUGACGCUGAGGCACGAAGGCCAGGGGAGCAAACGGGG